rnacentral:lncRNA from 1 species
UGGCUCAGAGCCUGGAGCCUGUUUCCGAUUCUGUGUCUCCCUCUCUCUCUGCCCCUCCCCCGUUCAUGCUCUGUCUCUCUCUGUCCCAAAAAUAAAAUAAACGUUGAAAAAAAAAAAAAAAAAAAAAAAAAAAAAAAAAAAAAAAAAAAAAAAAAAAAAAAAAAAAAAAAAAAAAAAAAAAAAAAAAAAAAAAAAAAAAAAAAAAAAAAAAAAAAAAAAAAAAAAAAAAAAAAAAAAAAAAAAAAAAAAAAAAAAAAAAAAAAAAAAAAAAAAAAAAAAAAAAAAAAAAAAAAAAAAAAAAAAAAAAAAAAAAAAAAAAAAAAAAAAAAAAAAAAAAAAAAAAAAAAAAAAAAAAAAAAAAAAAAAAAAAAAAAAAAAAAAAAAAAAAAAAAAAAAAAAAAAAAAAAAAAAAAAAAAAAAAAAAAAAAAAAAAAAAAAAAAAAAAAAAAAAAAAAAAAAAAAAAAAAAAAAAAAAAAAAAAAAAAAAAAAAAAAAAAAAAAAAAAAAAAAAAAAAAAAAAAAAAAAAAAAAAAAAAAAAAAAAAAAAAAAAAAAAAAAAAAAAAAAAAAAAAAAAAAAAAAAAAAAAAAAAAAAAAAAAAAAAAAAAAAAAAAAAAAAAAAAAAAAAAAAAAAAAAAAAAAAAAAAAAAAAAAAAAAAAAAAAAAAAAAAAAAAAAAAAAAAAAAAAAAAAAAAAAAAAAAAAAAAAAAAAAAAAAAAAAAAAAAAAAAAAAAAAAAAAAAAAAAAAAAAAAAAAAAAAAAAAAAAAAAAAAAAAAAAAAAAAAAAAAAAAAAAAAAAAAAAAAAAAAAAAAAAAAAAAAAAAAAAAAAAAAAAAAAAAAAAAAAAAAAAAAAAAAAAAAAAAAAAAAAAAAAAAAAAAAAAAAAAAAAAAAAAAAAAAAAAAAAAAAAAAAAAAAAAAAAAAAAAAAAAAAAAAAAAAAAAAAAAAAAAAAAAAAAAAAAAAAAAAAAAAAAAAAAAAAAAAAAAAAAAAAAAAAAAAAAAAAAAAAAAAAAAAAAAAAAAAAAAAAAAAAAAAAAAAAAAAAAAAAAAAAAAAAUGGGUGUCUGUGAACCUCAGAAAUGAGCUGCCACAAAGGGGACUCCCCAAAGGUGACCCCCAGCAAUGGGUGAAUAUGAGACAAUCUAUCUCUUCAUUAGAUUCUGUUGGGAAACUGUAUAUCUACAUGCAAAAGAAUGAAAGUGAACCCUUCCCUUACAUGAUACACAAAAAUCUACUUAAAAUGGCUUAA